AGAGGAAUGGUAGAGCGGUUUAUUGCACCGGUCUUGAAAACCGGAGACCCUUCACGGGGUCCGGGGGUUCGAAUCCCUCUUCCUCUGCCA
rnacentral:tRNA from 1 species